CACAGGCCCACAGUCUGGCCUUAAGCUGGAUCCCUACAGCAGCUGGCAGGCAGCUUUCAGCGUAUUCUGCAGUACUUCUGUUAACUGAAUUGUAUUUAAUGCAUAAAGUGCAUAUUCUACAUAUAUUCUAAUUAAAUUUCAGUGCUAUGCAGUGUGAAUUGAAUACAGUUCUCCAAUGUGUAGUCCAUAGGUCUCAUAGAUGUCUCUUCAGUUUUUUGUCACUAGUGUCCUAUUUGUAGACAACAAGACUUUUCCGUUUCUGUAACUAUGUUUAUCUAAUGAGGCAUGUUUAGAUUUGCUUGGAGAAGCAUUUAGUGAUGUUGAAAUGUUGCUAAGCAGGAAGCUUUAAUCAUGGAGUAUGAAAUGGGACACAGUACUUGCGCUUAACUUUCUAAGUGUGUAUUUCUACACCUGAUUUUCUGAACUUCACACUGAGGGUUGUCUUUUUUUUUUUUUUUAGUUCAUUUAGAAGCAUGUGCUUUAAAAAGGAUGCUAAAACUGGUGCUAAGGAGGCUUGUAUAAAUCCUGUCCAGGCUGAAGGAUCAAGAUGGAACCAGGGAAGGUCUUCACUUACAGCCAGGAGCAGUUUGGGCCAUAGAAGGGAAUGGACUGACACAAACCUCUCAGAUGUCCAGGGUGGCCCUGCCAGGUCCUGUCAACCGAAGGCUUUGUGGUCUGAGACACUGUGGCAUCGAGUUCCCCGUGCACCAUGGGAAAUCUUCAUAAUGCUUGACUGUAUUAGAGGAUGGAUCUUUGUUACAAUCUCUGCGUUAUAAAUAGAAAAGCAGGCUUAGUAAAUUUACAAAAAUUCAAAGAACUAAAAGUCUGCUGAUAAGAUUUCACAAGACUAAUAGCAACAAAAUAAAUGUUUUACUACUCUAAAAAUUACUGCUUCA
rnacentral:lncRNA from 1 species